UAAUGGCCCACCCAAGACAGUGAUCGGUAUCCGGCCUGAGAGGGCGCACGGACACACUGGAACUGAAACACGGUCCAGACUCCUACGGGAGGCAGCAGUGGGGAAUUUUGCGCAAUGGGGGAAACCCUGACGCAGCAACGCCGCGUGGAGGAUGAAGUCCUUCGGGACGUAAACUCCUUUCGAUCGGGACGAUAAUGACGGUACCGGAAGAAGAAGCCCCGGCUAACUUCGUGCCAGCAGCCGCGGUAAUACGUAGGGGGCGAGCGUUGUCCGGAGUUACUGGGCGUAAAGGGCAUGCAGGCGGUCGGACGCGUUUUGUGUGACAGCGGGUGGCUUAACUACCCGAGUAUGCGAAAGACGGUUCGACUUGAGGGCUCGAGAGGGACACGGAAUUCCGGGUGGAGUGGUGAAAUG
rnacentral:rRNA from 1 species